rnacentral:rRNA from 13 species
UCUAUUUGAAGGUAUAAAUAGUCUAGCCUGCUCACUGAUAUAAUAUUAUUUAAGAGCCGCGGUAUUUUGACCGUGCAAAGGUAGCAUAAUCAUUAGAGGUUUAAUUGGAAUCUGGUAUGAAGGGUUGGACAAAGGAAAAACUGUCUUUAUGUUAUAAAUUGAAGUUUACCUUUAAGUGAAAAGGCUUAAAUGAAUCAGAGGGACGAUAAGACCCUAUAAAGCUUUAUAAGUAAUUUAAAUUUGAUUGAUUUAGGUCAUAAAAAUUGAAUUUAAUUAUCUUAUUUUAUUGGGGUGAUAUGAGUAUAAAUGAUGUUAACUAUUUAUAAAAAAUACUGUUAUAGGAGAGUUAUAAAAUUGAUGAUCCUUUAUAAAGAUUAAGAGAUUAAGUUACUUUAGGGAUAACAGCGUUAUUUCUUUUGAGAGUUCAUAUCGAAAAAGAAGAUUGCGACCUCGAUGUUGAAUUAAAAUAUCUAUAUAAUGCAGC